UCAGUAACACGUAGUCAACCUACCCUAUGGACAAGAAUAAUCUCGGGAAACUGGGCAUAAUUCUUGAUAGAUCAUAAUGCCUGGAAUGGUUUAUGGUUAAAAUGAUUCGUCGCCAUAGGAUGGGACUGCGGCCCAUCAGCUUGUUGGUGAGGUAAUGGCCCACCAAGGCGAUUACAGGUACGGGCUCUGAGAGGAGAAGCCCGGAGAUGGGUACUGAGACACGGACCCAGGCCCUAUGGGGCGCAGCAGGCGAGAAAACUUUGCAAUGUGCGAAAGCACGACAAGGUUAAUCCGAGUGAUUUCUGCUAAAGAAAUCUUUUGCCA
rnacentral:rRNA from 1 species